CGUGUCACAGCAGGGAACCACGGUGAGCUGGCCAACUCAGGUGUGGGCACAGAUCUGUGCCUGGCAGGGCACUGGAGGUGGCUCUGCUACAGGGCACACAAGAACCCUGGGGGACCCUGCACACCCUUCUCCGGAGACAGGGCCACCACCAGGACAGCUGCUACGCCAGGAUCCCUUGAAGAUGUGGCCUGAGGGCUCGGUGGCUCUGGUUCAGGAUCGGGGACCCCCAGGGAACUCUGUUCCAGUAGCUCCACAGGGCCAGGAGGGGAACAACUACAGCGGGACGUGGGCUCUGCAGGAAGGAGGCUCCUUUAGUUGUUGGGAAGUAGCACAUCCUCCACUCAGUGCACGGUGCACUGUAUGCAGAUCCAUGUUCUAAGGCCACUGGACAAAGCAAGGUCAAGCAAGAAGAACUACCAAUAAAGUCCGACAAGAGCUUCUAACCAUGCUUAGUAUUGAAGGUGCAAAUUAGAAAUGUCUUUAAACUUUCUGAGAUAAACUGAAUGCAAAAAUCUAGUUAGAGAAGGUCUAUACUGGCGGGUUUAUCACUCGACUAUGGAUUAAUAGAUUAACCACUUCAAUGCCUCUGAAAUACUGAUCAUUUCUUACAUUCUUCCAAGCAUUAGACCUGUUCCUGCUUGCAGAAGCCAUGUGUACUUUUUGAGCUCAGAGUCAAUUUGCCCAGGACUCAAAAUCCUCUCUCAACUAACUUUUGCUCUGUAUAAUUUUUACAAAAUUCCUGGCAGUCCUCACGCAGGAAUUUCAUAGCAAUGAAAAUGGAAGCAGAAAAACAAAAGAUACUCUCAUUCAAGAUUGAACCAUGAUAGAAAGGAAAAAAAAAAUUUAUGCAAAUUUACUUCCUGUAUAAAUAAGUCCUUUUGCCUUCCAACUCAGGGCUGAUUCUGGAUGACAUCCUUUUCCUUCUUUGAUGUAUGUGAAAAGCUUUUUUUUUUUUCCUUUUAAUUUAAGAACAAAAGUAAUAUAAACAGGGUAACAGUUACAGCCAUCUAUCUGCAUCAUACCAAAUGUGGACUAAACAAUUUGUGUUUCUAGAUAUAGACAAAACCAUUUCAUCUAAAUGUCUGUUUUAUUUUGGACAUUACAGCCACUCACAUCCAAACAGAACUUUCUAUUUGGGUAAAGACCAUGGCUUGAUUUGCCUCUGAGCAAAGCAGAGACUUCAAGUACAAAUGUUUGCUUGAAGGAAGGGAGGAGUGUAACAGGAGAGCCCCGCGAGCAGGAUUUCUCAAUGAAAAUGUGUCAGGAGCAAGAGCUUCUAAUUGUGUCCCUGACACACACCCCCGCCCCCCUCCACCCCUCCACCUUCAUCGAGGGAGGGACCAGUGCUCUUUCAAAGGGGGGCUGCUUGAGACAAACCAAAGACACUGGUUUGCAAAGGAAAUUUCAAACAUGGAUCAACCGUCACCAAGAUAUUUCAACUGAUCCCAUUGAAGGGAGAUAAGAAAAACUGACCAGUUGAGAUUUAAUAAUCCAGGUCUGAUUGCUGGCUGCUUUAAUUCCUGAAGGAGGCGCAUGAAUUAACCAAAUCCCCUAUCGUUUGAAGGAUGAGAGUAUUAACUUCCAGGCCCUGCGCAAGGAACCAUUUCUGAGCCAUUUUAUGAGCCUCCAGGAGAUGAGCAAAAUUCAAAGCGGUCACGUCACAGUUGUCGAUAUCACGUGGCCACCCGAACGGCCUUGGCGCAGAAGUUGUUGCAAAGUCACAUUCGACGAUGUGUGUGCACAACAAUACACCCAUUAUGUAGCCCAUCAUCUACAGCUCCAGACACUGGCAUCUUUUUAGUCAAACUGGGUUACAACAAAUCAUAAGCCAGAUCCGUCUCUUUUGGACUUGGUUUCUCUGUUUCUGUUGGUUGGAACGAGGACACGGAGGGCAGGGGGAGUCACGGCCCCCUUCUGGACCCCCCAUUUACCAGUGAGGGUUACAGAUGUGCACAGGACUAAGGAGGGGUGGUGACUGAGGGAAGAGGAAAGCUGGGUUCAAAGCAUAAAUUCCAAGGUGUGUCCCCGAGAGAAAUAUGUUGAAACCCGAGUCUACACCCAUUUGUGACUCCUAAAGUCAACACAGCUUCUAGACACGCAGAUCACAGCAACCUGAAUGAGUUCCAGUUGAGGGAGACUCCAAAAACCUGUGAUAAUGGUGGGACCUGCAAAUCUGCGUCCCACCCCCCAAUAAAUCAAUACGAUUUCAAACACAACCUAACAAUUCGUUUUGUGACUACUCGGCCAAAAACAUGCCCUGAGGUAGGACCAGAGAGAGAGACCCUCUCCUCCACGUUAAUCAGAACAGCCUUCUACAGGGUUUGCUCCAACCUCCAGACUCUCAUCCUACAGGACUCGCAGAGCCACACCGGAAGUGUUAGGGCAAAAGCCCCCUGUGAGACCACCUUUCGCCACACCUCUGCGGCACCACCCCUGUCUCACACCUAAGUAAGUACAACGCACAUGCAACCAGAGCCCCUAGUGAAGGCAUCCAGUCUUCUCUCCUGCUGAUUAUUUAGUCUAUUCUGGAGAGCAGAGAUUCGAUGGCAAAUAUCAAUCCAACCACUUCUCUUGAAGGUCAGCAGAGACCAUUUUAACGGAUAUCUUUAUAAGGAUAACUACAGGGAGGAUUUGAAGGUGGAAAAUAAACUGUAUCCUGUUUACUAAAGAAUGAAUUGAUGCAAAACAGGCCUCUAAGGAGUAAAUAAAUCAUUGGUGUUCAAGCCCUCACAAGCGAGUUGGGAAAAGUCACUGCCCUGGUCCUAGCCAUGAUGCUGGCCUUAAUUCUAUUUCCCCUUGUUGGUCUUCUUGGCUAAUGCACAUCUAGCCUGCUCUAAACAACUUUUCUUUUUAACCAAAUGCUUGGUGAACUCCAGAAAACUCUGAUAACUUCUCUGCAAAAGCUCCAAGUUCUAACGUGGGGAAGGACCUCCCUCCUGGAAAACUCGGAGCUUACAUCUUACAGGUGCCCCAUAGCUGGAAAUGACCUUCUUCCCUGGUCUGGCAACAGUUUCUGGGGGUUAGGCAGUGAUGGGCAGGGGAGGGAUUUCUCCACUUUUUAGAAGGAAGAGAACCAACAACCAGCAAGCUGUGAUUAUCUCUGAAACCCCAAGUCAUCUUGGUGGCUCUAAAAGUCUUCAUAGUUGAUCACUUUUGAUGUGUUCCCCUUUGCUUUCAUAGGGCUGCCACAUUUAGUUUUAUGCCUAUAACCCAACCAAAUAGCCUUCUACUAUGUAGCGGUGUUUCAGACCACAUCCCCUCCCAGCAGAAAGUUUCCAUAGAAGAGAAACACUCCUACCUCUCCAGUCUGCUCCUCAUUUAAGCAUCUACAUAAUUUAAUUUUUAAUUUCAAUUAUUAUUUUUUUAUUAACCAGAAGGAACAUUACUCAGAGCACCCCAUCUAAACAUACAUGAAAUUAGCUAAUUUCAAACUGUCUGGGAUUGACCGCAUUGGCCUAUAUGGGUGCCGGCUCGGCAUUCUCCUGGACCCACAGGCCUCUCUUUCUACCAAGUUAAGAAGAAAUGAGCAGCACUAUUACCUCCAUUCUCUCUUUUAUUCAGCAAGGGGACCCUUGCAAAUCCCUUUCAGCUCUGUGUCAACCAGUCUUUUCGGUGUGGGCAGCAAAGUUCACAGAGGCAUCCAAAUGCUAUUCUCUCAACCUACCAGAACCUUCUGGUAGCUUGUUAAAAAUUCAGAUCAUAAACUCAAAACCUUUGGGAUGUGUCCUUAAAAAUGUGUAUUUGUAGCAAACACCCCGAAUGAUUCUAAAGAACAAAACAAGGGUCCAUUUUUGGAACUCUCAGGGUUCACCAUCAGAGGGAAAGCCCAGAAGGCAAUCACCUCCGAAGUACUUCCAUUAUGCCAUUCUUACUCCUACAAAGAGUAACAACCAGGUGCUGACCUUCUACAACAGUUCCAAAUUCCAAGUCUAAAUAAACAUCAUUAUCAUUUGUUUAGUGCCCUAAACUACCCAUCUACAAGGUAAUAAAGCAUCAAUCAUACCAAAUUGAGAGCACUUUUUUUUUUUUUUUUGGCUCUUCAAACAACUGAUUUGUUGUUUUCUCCUUUUGUGGAAAUGAAGCCGAUCAUCCUUUAAAUAAAACCUUCAAGUCACCUUUACUCUGAGGCUUUCCUUAUCUCUCUUCUGCAUACCUAAAGUAGUAGAACAAAGAUUUUGGUAAACAUUACAAAUCUUGCUAUCAAUGGCACAUUCCCUUUGGUUAGACGAAAUAUCUAGAGUCUUCUAAGAUCAAUGGCUCUCAAUAGCCAGAAGAUAGCAGGCAAUCAAUGACUAUCUGGGGAAUGAGCCAGAGGAAGAGAAUAAACCCAUCUGCUGCCCUUCAAAGUCUUCCUCAAAUCAAGUCUUCUCAGCCUCCAGGUGAGACCGCCCUAUUCCUGGCUCAUGGACAUCCAUUCUUCUUCCACCACCUAAUUUAUCCACAUUUAAUCAAGUUCCUCUUCUGCUUGGAAGCCUUCCCAGAUAACUCCAGUCAACAUAGAUGGUUCUUUCCAAUCUCCAGGCAAACAGCAUUUAUUAUCCUCUCACACAUUUGGACAUCAAAGAGCUAAAAGAGCAAAGCAUCCAGCUGCCGCUGUGUGAUUACUUAAGUUUCUAUGAGCAACACAGAACGAACAGACGUCCGACGACUAGUGACACGUCGAGCCAGCGACAGAAGCAAACAGGAUCCCCACCGAAUUUAACUCUGGCAACGCAACCGAAACUACCAAACAGGCACUUUUUGAUCGAUUUAUGAUCUUUUCUCUUUUCUGUACUGACCUGAUCUUGGUGAAAUUUGAUUUUAUAGUUGAUGGGCAAACCACAAAGCCUUCCAUACCCACGAGUCCUCCCAGCACCGGAUGGGGGAUGGGGGAAAUGGUGAGAGGGUUGUCUUUUUUUAAAUUGAAUCUGUGAGUGGGAGGGGCAAUUACUGCUGAAUUAUAAUAAUCCCAACUUGAGAAGGCACCAGAUUUAAUUAUUCCCCUCUUCCUUUCUAGCCAGGGAUACUUGCUAAAGCGCCUCUUACUAAAGACUCCUUCUAGUUUCUGUUUAAACACUUUCCAUGGCAGAGAGCUUACUGCUUAUCUUCCACGGGCUGACUGUCCAAGGCAUGUAGAAACCUCACCGACACAGGUGACAGCGGGACACAGGGAGUCACUAGAAUCCAGAGGAUCUAAGUUCCAUAGAGACAGACGUGGGGCCAAAUUAGUGUCCCAGAUGGUACAGGAAGCUAGGGGUUGAUUUGGGACAAUGUCAAACUCUCAG